UUUUUCCUGAGAACCGCUUCACGUGGGAGUUUGUUGACGACCAGCUUCUGGUACCUGUGAGCAGAUCUUCCUCUCCAGGAUGAUUGGGCUACGUCCACCAUUCCUCUGCGUUUCUUGGCCUUCUCCCAGAAACGGCAGGUUUGACGUCACUUCACAGGUUUUCUGUUGGAUUGUGCCGGCCGCUCUGUGAAGUUUACCUUUUUAACCAGAAACGAGACCUUGCUUACAGGGGGGCUUCCUACCAGUGACUGAGCUUUACACGUGACUUCUGUUACAGUACUGCUGCGUUCCAGUUACCUAGGAAGUGGGAACUCGGAGCUGGAUUUGACGUCAUACUCGAGGCUCUCCAAUCAACUUGUCAAUCCAAAUCCAUUGAUCUCCAGAGCACCAGAAUCAAUCACGGCUGAGGUUGUGGGAACUGAGGACUGCAGGGAGCAGACUCAGCAACCUUCUGCUGAUGCAGUAAAAGACUGAAAUUGACACUUUCACAUUCACGUUGAGUGGACAUCAUGAAGUAGAUUGCAGGCUGUAGGAUCCAAAGUACUUGUACUUGCAGAUGUGAAAAAUAAAAACAGCUUGCGGUGGGUUUUGCUGGAAAGGCUGGCCAAAUUGGGAAAUAUUUCAAUAACAACUAAAAUUG